rnacentral:rRNA from 1 species
AACUGUAAUGUUUUUCCCUCAAAACUUUUGUGCCAUAAGAUGAGUCGGCGGCUGAUUAGUUUGUUGGUGAGGUAAUGGCUCACCCAGACUAAAAUCAGUAGGGGGAGUGAGAGCUCUAGCCCCGAGAAGGGCACUGAGAUACUGGCCCUAGUCCUAAGGGAUGCAGCAGUCGCGAAAACUUUACAAUACACGAAAGUGUGAUAAGGGAAUUCCAAGUGUUUAUCUAACGAUAAACUUUUGCCAAGUACAAAUAGCUUGGAGAAUAAGUGGUGGGAAAGACCGGUGCCAGCCGCCGCGGUAACACCGGCGCCACAAGUGGGGAUCAUAUUUAUUGGGUCUAAAGCGUUUGUAGCUGGUUCAACAAAUCUCCUGUGAAAUUGUUAAGCUUAACUUAACAAAUUGCAAGAGAGACUGUUAAACUUGAGACCAGGAGGGGAUAAGAGUAUUCCAAGGGGAGCGGUAAAAUGUUAUAAUCCUUGGAAGACUACCAAUGGCGAAGGCACUUAUCCAGAAUGGGUCUGACAGUGAGAAACGAAGGCUAGGAUAACGAAAAGGAUUAGAUAUGGGAAAAAAUAACAAUUUCCUACUAAAAACCCUAGUAGCCCUAGCAGUAAACGCUGUGAGUUAGGUGUUGUAUAGUCUUAGGGAUUAUGCAGUGCCGUAGAGAAGUCGUUAAACUCACCACCUGGGAAGUAUGAUCGCAAGAUUGAAACUUAAAGGAAUUGGCGGGGGCGCACCACAAGGAGUGAAGCGUGCGGUUUAAUUGGAUUCUACGCCGAAAAUCUCACCAGAAGCGACGGCAGAAUGAAGGUCAGAUUAAAGGUUUUACCUAACAAGCCGAGAGAUAGUGCAUGGCCGCCGUCAGUUCGUGCUGUGAGGUGUCCUGUUAAGUCAGGUAACGAACAAGACCUAUAUUCACUUUUGCCACCAUCUCAUUUUUGAGGAAUGGGCACAAUAUGAAGACUGCUUAGGAAACUAAGAGGAAGGUAUAGGCAACGGUAGGUCAGUAUGCUUCGAAUCUUCUGGGCUACACGCGCACAACAAUGGUAGGGACAAUUGGAUGCAACUCUGAAAAGAGAAGCCAACCCCACAAACCCUAUCUUAGUCUAGAUUGAGUGUUGUAAUUCAUACUCAUGACAACGGAAUUCCUAGUAAUCGGUCCUCAACAUAGACCGGUGAAUAUGUCCCUGUGCCUUGCACACACCGCCCGUCAUCCCAGCCGAGCAGGAUUUAGAUAAGACUUAAUUAAUUGAUUAAUUCAAAUCUAGGUU